CCUGGUUGAUCCUGCCAGUAGUCAUAUGCUUGUCUUAAAGAUUAAGCCAUGCAUGUCUAAGUAUAAGCUUUUAUACGGCUAAACUGCGAAUGGCUCAUUAAAACAGUUAUAGUUUAUUUGAUGGUCUUUACUACAUGGAUAACCGUGGUAAUUCUAUGGCUAAUACAUGCGCACAUGCCUCUUCCCCUGGAAGGGCAGUGUUUAUUAGAUACAGAACCAACCCACCUUCCGGUGGUCCUCAGGUGAUUCAUAGUAACCGAACGGAUCGCGUUGACUUCGGUCUGCGACGGAUCAUUCAAGUUUCUGACCUAUCAGCUUUCGACGGUACUGUAUUGGACUACCGUGGCAGUGACGGGUAACGGGGAAUUAGGGUUCGAUUCCGGAGAGGGAGCCUGAGAAACGGCUACCACAUCUAAGGAAGGCAGCAGGCGCGCAAAUUACCCAAUCCUGAUUCAGGGAGGUAGUGACAAGAAAUAACAACACUGGAAAUUUCAUUUCUAGUGAUUGGAAUGAUAGGAAUCCAAACCCCUUUCAGAGUAACAAUUGGAGGGCAAGUCUGGUGCCAGCAGCCGCGGUAAUUCCAGCUCCAAUAGCGUAUAUUAAAGUUGUUGCAGUUAAAAAGACUCGUAGUUGGAUUUCUGCUGGAAGCAGCCAGUCCGCCCUCAGGGGUGUGCACUUGGUGAAUUCUAGCAUCCUUCUGGAUUUCUCCACACUUCAUUGUGUGGAGUUUUUUCCAGGACUUUUACUUUGAGAAAAUUAGAGUGUUUCAAGCAGGCUUGUCGCCUUGAAUACUGCAGCAUGGAAUAAUAAGAUAGGAUUUCGGCCCUAUUUUGUUGGUUUCUAGGACUGAAGUAAUGAUUAAUAGGGACGGUUGGGGGCAUUCGUAUUUAACUGUCAGAGGUGAAAUUCUUAGAUUUGUUAAAGACGAACUACUGCGAAAGCAUUUGCCAAAGAUGUUUUCAUUAAUCAAGAACGAAAGUUAGGGGCUCGAAGACGAUCAGAUACCGUCGUAGUCUUAACCAUAAACUAUGCCGACUAGAGAUAGGAAAACGUCAUGCUUGACUUCUCCUGCACCUUAUGAGAAAUCAAA
rnacentral:rRNA from 1 species